rnacentral:rRNA from 1 species
CCUCAGUAACGGCGAGUGAAGCGGCAACAGCUCAAAUUUGAAAGCUGGCCCCCCCCGGGGGUCCGCGUUGUAAUUUGUAGAGGAUGAUUCGGCGAGGGCUCCCGCCUAAGUCCCCUGGAACGGGGCGUCAUAGAGGGUGAGAAUCCCGUAUGCGGUGGGCUGCCUUAGCCAUGUGAAUCUCCUUCGACGAGUCGAGUUGUUUGGGAAUGCAGCUCUAAAUGGGAGGUAAAUUUCUUCUAAAGCUAAAUACCGGCCAGAGACCGAUAGCGCACAAGUAGAGUGAUCGAAAGAUGAAAAGCACUUUGGAAAGAGAGUUAAAAAGUACGUGAAAUUGUUGAAAGGGAAGCGCUUGCAGCCAGACUUGCCCGCAGUUGCUCAGCCGGUCUCCUGACCGGCGCACUCUUCUGCGGCCAGGCCAGCAUCAGUUCGGGCGGUCGGAUAAAGGCCCCGGGAACGUAGCUCCUCUCGGGGAGUGUUAUAGCCCGGGGUGGAAUGCGGCCAGCCUGNGACUGAGGAUCUCGCU